rnacentral:rRNA from 1 species
AUUGAACGCUGGCGGCAGGCCUAACACAUGCAAGUCGGACGGUAGCACAGAGAGCUUGCUCUCGGGUGACGAGUGGCGGACGGGUGAGUAAUGUCUGGGGAUCUGCCCGAUAGAGGGGGAUAACCACUGGAAACGGUGGCUAAUACCGCAUAACGUCGCAAGACCAAAGAGGGGGACCUUCGGGCCUCUCACUAUCGGAUGAACCCAGAUGGGAUUAGCUAGUAGGCGGGGUAACGGCCCACCUAGGCGACGAUCCCUAGCUGGUCUGAGAGGAUGACCAGCCACACUGGAACUGAGACACGGGCCAGACUCCUACGGGAGGCAGAGGUGGGGAAUAUUGCACAAUGGGCGCAAGCCUGAUGCAGCCAUGCCGCGUGUAUGAAGAAGGCCUUCGGGUUGUAAAGUACUUUCAGCGGGGGGGAAGGCGAUGUGGUUAAUAACCGCGUCGAUUGACGUUACCCGCAGAAGAAGCACCGGCUAACUCCGUGCCAGCCGCCGCCGUAA